rnacentral:lncRNA from 1 species
ACCUUACGUCUUCCUCGUGUGAUUCGCCAAGGCCGCAUCCUCCUGAGAUAAGAAGAACGGCAAGGAGGUAAAAGGAACACCAGAUUUUUAACAAAUUCUUCAGAUGUAGUACGUAUCUUCCAUUUUGCCAAAGCAGUGAGUCUAUGUGCUGAAGUUUCUUGUGUCUUCUCUUGGAUGUAUUUGUCUAAAUGGAGAGCACUGUCUUUUUUUUCGUGGAGCUGGCGCUGCUGUAGUAUGGACAGGAAUAGUGUGUUGAUGUCGAGCACAACACAGAGACAAGGUUAGGGAUUUUGUUUUUGUUCUAAAGUAUUUAUCUGCAUGCAUAAGUUCGAAGAUUGUCGUAGAGCGAGUUCAAGUGUGGUUUUGUGAAAAAAUUCUGGGUUUUGCACACCAGCCCCUUUGCUUUGCACAUUGCUUGGUUAUGCAUGACUGCUGAUGGAUGCAUCAAGCGUUUAUAUUAGUUUGAUCUUGUGCAAGACUCAAUUUUGUCUCGGUUUUCGUUGAUGCUAGCUGGCAAUACGCUCAACAUUCUUGCGGCGAUAGCGGCCACCACUAAGGGCAUUUGCAUCUAGCACUCGGCUCGACGGUUGCACACUGCCGCCAUGGGCAUCCACAAAGAUAUUAAGUAGAUGUUUGUUAGUUCAGUUUUUUUAUUGAUUUACCUUGUUUAAGUAGUAGUGCAGCAAUAAAUGGUGUAGCUGUACUGAAGUUUUAGUUGCUAUAUGAGGAACCCAGAGGCCAUUUAUUUUGGUUUUCAGUUCAGCUUGUCUGUUCUUUUCGAUCCGGAUGCUUUAUUGCGCAUAAUCUUGAGGAAAUCCCCAAAAAUCAUAUGUCUCAUGUGAAUCUUGUUCAGUUCAUCAGUUCGUCGGAAAAAUAUAUCAUCUACAAAGAAGAAUUGCAAUCUGGUAAUGUGAAGUAUGUUGUAGUCUAUACCUGUAGAGUGCAUUUUUGUAGUGCUGGUAGUCGUGGUCACUCUUUUGUGUUAGAAACAAUGGAUAUAUAUUUAUAUUUUGUAGUGUCAGUACUUGAGAACAAAAGGUUCAGUUUUCAAACUUUAAACAGUUCAUCGCAAGCUUUAGGUGUAGCAAGACGCACGCCAAUGUGUGUGUGCACUUGAUGCAACUAUAUUGCAGUAUAUGAAGUUCAUGCGAAUUUCAUGCAUCAACAAUCUGAUAGAGAGCACCAUUCUUUUUUGAAUUUUGUAUUUAAGAAAUAUCACCCUUUCUAUAUUUUGAACACUAGGUAGUGCUUUCUUUUCUUGUUAUAGUCAAAAAGUAGUACAUGUAUCUAGUUAUGGUGAUAGUGAUAAUAACCAGACCAAGCUACUUCAAUUGUCCGGGAUAACAAGUUCAUUGCACAAAAAAUGCUGGGAAGUUCAUAUGAAGUAGGAACACCUAGGUAAAAAAGGUUUACCCAAGAAAUACCUUGGCAAAUUCACAUGGCAGACACCUUCGAGUAAGUACAAGUUUUUUUUCCUUGGUCAACAAAUCAGCGAUGGUACUAAUACAAAUUUUCGUGUAUGUGAUGAAUUUCUAUAAAAAUGUUCAAUAUACAACUUUUUAGCAAUUCAUUUUGUAUAAAUGAAGUAUUUUAAAGUACAUAACUUUUUAGGUUUUGUUGUGAACUUGUGACGUUACUGCACAUGAACUUGUUGUUCUUUUGACAUGAACUUGUGCAUGCUAAUUGGUUGUUGUUGUGUGUGUGCAGGGUACAUCCAACGACAACGAGUAGGCGACAAGUGUACGUGUGAGCAGCCGGAUAGUAGCAUGAAGCAGUUGAGUAGCUGUCCGUGGUGAGCAGCUACUGAACUGAUUCUGACACUGCAAUAUUAGUCCCACACAGCCUCUCAACACCCCCUGCUUGAACCUUAAUAGUAAAAGCCAGUAAACCUUCACUAGCUUGUGUUGUCUGUUGUCUUAUUGUACACAUUAUUUGUAUUAUCUUGGGUUUCAAGACUCUUUACUUGUUUGCUGGAUAUAUUUAAUGGUAGAAUGCCCUUGCAAUGAGAUUUAAUUGGCACUUGCUUUAUAUUGCAGCAUAAGAACUCAGCGUGUGUGGUUGCCAAUGAGCUCUCCUACACAGUGGUCGCCCAUGAAAAAAAGGUUCAUGUCUAGCUACAUGGAGAGUUCCAAAAAACAGAAUUGAGAAAGUCCAAACCUCCAAAGAAAGUUCUUUAACAGUAAAGAAAGCCUUGGUGUUUAUAUAUUUGUGAUUUGAGCUAUGUGAGAGUUCAUAUUGUAAGAUUAUGGUGUUUGUUUUAAAGUUCAAACUAUUAAAAGCCGUGAGGUUCACACACUGCCACGGUGAAAGUUUGUGAAUUUGGUAUAUAAAAAAGAGAAGUGUUCAUAUUGUAUGAUUAUAGUGUUUGUUCUGAAGUUCAAAUUGUUAAAGCCAUGAGAUUCACAUUGUCUUUGUAAAUUUUUUUAUUUUGGUAACAUAAGAUAGAAAAAGGAUUGUAGUGUCUGUUUAUAAGUUCAUAUUGUUAAAGCAGCGAGGUUCACACAGUUUCCUGAGAGAUGUACUCUCUAUACAUUGAUAUGUUCAAGGCUAGUUUCCUGAGAGAUGUACUCUUUGUGAAUUUCUUUGUAUUUUUGUAACCUGAUGGUAUCAUGUUUUGUUUAAAAAUGUAGGCAAGUACAUGGUAGAAGAAACAUAAGUUCACAGUACAAAGAAUCUAGAAAGUUCAAAGAUAAAAAAGUGAAAAGUUCGGAAUCACGAAAAGAAGAGG